AUCGAACGCUGGCGGCAGGCUUAACACAUGCAAGUCGAACGAGUGGCGGACGGGUGAGUAAUGCUUGGGAAUCUAGCUUAUGGAGGGGGAUAACUACGGGAAACUGUAGCCAAUACCGCGUACCAUAGGAUGAGCCUAAGUGGGAUUAAGUAGUUGGUGAGGUAAAGGCUCACCAAGCCGACGAGCUCUAGCUGGUCUGAGAGGAUGACCAGCCACACUGGGACGGAUACACGGCCCAGACUCCGACGGGAGGCAGCAGUGGGGAAUAUUGCACAAUGGGCGCAAGCCUGAUGCAGCCAUGCCGCGUGUAUGAAGAGGGCCUUCGGGUUGUAAAGUACUUUCAGUCGGGAGGCGUUACCGACAGAAGAAGCACCGGCUAACUCCGUGCCAGCCGCCGCGGUAAUUC
rnacentral:rRNA from 1 species